rnacentral:rRNA from 1 species
AACGAACGCUGGCGGCAGGCUUAACACAUGCAAGUCGAGCGCCCCGCAAGGGGAGCGGCAGACGGGUGAGUAACGCGUGGGAACCUACCCUUUGCUACGGAAUAGCUCCGGGAAACUGGAAUUAAUACCGUAUGUGCCCUAUGGGGGAAAGAUUUAUCGGGAAAGGAUGGGCCCGCGUUGGAUUAGCUAGUUGGUGGGGUAAAGGCCUACCAAGGCGACGAUCCAUAGCUGGUCUGAGAGGAUGAUCAGCCACAUUGGGACUGAGACACGGCCCAAACUCCUACGGGAGGCAGCAGUGGGGAAUAUUGGACAAUGGGCGCAAGCCUGAUCCAGCCAUGCCGCGUGAGUGAUGAAGGCCUUAGGGUUGUAAAGCUCUUUCACCGGUGAAGAUAAUGACGGUAACCGGAGAAGAAGCCCCGGCUAACUUCGUGCCAGCCGCCGCCGUAAUAC